rfam:Gorilla gorilla gorilla genomic chromosome, chr22, whole genome shotgun sequence
GCUGGGUGCGGUGGUGCGUGCCUGUAAUCUCAGCUACUCAGGAGGCUGAGGCAGGAGAAUCGCUUGAACCCAGGAGGUGGAGGUUGCAGUGAGCCGAGAUACUGCCACUGCACUCCAGCCUGGGUGACAGAGCGAGACUCUGUCUCAA